GAUGAACGCUGGCGGCGUGCCUAAUACAUGCAAGUCGAGCGAACGGACGAGGAGCUUGCUGCUCUGAUGUUAGCGGCGGACGGGUGAGUAACACGUGGAUAACCUACCUAUAAGACUGGGAUAACUUCGGGAAACCGGAGCUAAUCCCGGAUAAUAUUUUGAACCGCAUGGUUCAAUAGUGAAAGACGGUCUUGCUGUCACUUAUAGAUGGAUCCGCGCUGCAUUAGCUAGUUGGUAAGGUAACGGCUUACCAAGGCAACGAUGCAUAGCCGAGCUGAGAGGGUGAUCGGCCACACUGGAACUGAGACACGGUCCAGACUCCUACGGGAGGCAGCAGUAGGGAAUCUUCCGCAAUGGGCGAAAGCCUGACGGAGCAACGCCGCGUGAGUGAUGAAGGUCUUCGGAUCGUAAAACUCUGUUAUUAGGGAAGAACAUAUGUGUAAGUAACUGUGCACAUCUUGACGGUACCUAAUCAGAAAGCCACGGCUAACUACGUG
rnacentral:rRNA from 1 species